GCUGUGCCCCUGGCACCUAUGCUGCUCUGUUUGUUCCUCCCCAGCUCCCCGGGAAGAAGGACCUGUUCAUCGAGGCAGAUCUGAUGAGCCCCCUGGACCGAAUCGCCAACGUCUCCAUUCUGAAGCAACAUGAAGUGGACAAGCUGUACAAAGUGGAGAACAAACCCAUCGUUAGCACUAGUGACCAGUUGUGCUUCUUAGUCCGGCCACGGAUCAAGAACAUGAAGUACGUUGCUG